CGAAAGCCUCUGCAGUGUCACUCUUCCCCAAUUCAGAGAGCAGUAGAGACCUUAACCAGGUCCUCCUCCUCUCUCUCUCUUUCCUCAAAAGCCAUGGAUUUCGUGGAAUUGGAAGCCAUAGAAGGCCUCCGAUGGUCCUGGAACUCCUGGCCGUCUUCCAAAGCCGACCAAGCCGCUCUCGUCAUCCCCCUAAGCGUCAUGUGCACGCCGCUGAUGCAACAAGCCGAGCUCCCACUCCUCCCCUACGACCCCGUCACCUGCUCCCAAUGCGGCGCCGUUUUGAACCCCUACGCGCGCGUCGACUACACCUCCCGCAUCUGGUUCUGCUCCUUGUGCCUCCACAAGAACCCCUUCCCUCACUCCUACUCCAACAUCGGCGACACCAAUCUCCCCGCCGAGCUCUUCCCCACUUACAGCGCCGUCGAGUACGCCCGAACCGCCCCGAGUCCCGCCCCCGCCCACAAUUGGCCCAACGGCGGCCUCUCGUCCUCGUCCUCGCUGUCCUCGAUGGUGUCGUCGUCGCCAAACUCCGGGUCGGACGAUUCGCGAGGGAUCCGACCCGCGUUUGUGUUGGUCGUCGACGUGGCCACGCCCCGGGAUGAGCUGGCGGCUCUGAAGAAUGAGCUGCUGCUUGUGCUGGAGCAACUGCCGGAGACUGCUCUGGUGGGUUUAGUCACGUUUGAUUCCAUGGUGCGCCUUCAUGAUCUCGAGUUUUCCGAGUGCUCCAGAGUCGUUGUGCUUCACGGAGAUCGGCAGCUCUCAUCGCUUCAGAUUCAACAAUUUCUGGGCAUUAAUAGGCCUAGGCAGCAGCAACUCGGAAAAAUGCCUUUUUCCCAAAAGCAAGGGUUCUUGCUACCAGUAUCUGAGUGUGAGUUCAACAUUUCAACUGCAAUUGAAGAAAUCCAGUCUUCGGCAGUCAAGCCUGGUCAUCGCCCAGGAAGGUCAACAGGAGCAGCAAUUUCAGCCGCACUUGGACUUUUGGAAGGAUGCUUGGUGAGCACUGGCUCCAGAAUCAUGGUCUUCACAUCUGGACCUGCAACUGUAGGCCCAGGAAUUAUUGUAGACUCUGAUCUUGGUUAUUCCAUCAGAACUCACCGAGAUCUCAUCAAUGGUCAUGCUCCUUACUAUAGUAGAUCUUGCAGCUUCUACAGACAAGUGUCACAGAGGUUAACUGAUGCAUCUAUUGUCCUCGAUUUGUUUGCUUGUUCUCUUGAUCAAGCUGGCUCUGCAGAGCUUAAGGAUCCUGUUGAGAGAUCGGGUGGUUUCAUGAUGCUAGGCGAGUCCUUUGAGUCGAAUCAGUUCAGAAAAUGUUUGCGGCACAUUUUUACUCGUGAUGAAGAGGGGUAUUUGAAGAUGUAUUUUGAUGCAACUAUUGAGAUAGUGACCACUAAAGAUGUUAAAAUCUGUGGAGCCCUAGGUCCUUGUGUAUCUCUUCGGAAAGUUAACAAUUUAGUGAGUAGCACUGAGAUUGGUGAGGGUGGUACCUAUAUAUGGAAGUUAGGUAGUAUUACCAAUAAAACAUGCAUCGCCUUUUUCUUUGAAGUUAGUGAUGAGCAGAAAGUUCAACUUGGCUCGGCAUUCUUUAUACAGUUCAUAACACGAUACCGACAUGGGAACAUGGGAAUCCGGAAACGGGUGACAACUGCUGCAAGAAGAUGGGUUGGUAACCGUUCACCAGAAAUUGCUGCUGGGUUCGAUCAAGAAACAGCUGCUUCUGUGAUAGCCAGGCUUGCUAUUCACCGAGCUGAGAAUUGUUUUGCUCGAGAUGUUAUUGGAUGGCUGGAUGACACGUUGAUCCAUUUUGCUUCAAAAUUUGGAGACUAUGUGGAGGAAGAUCCAUCUUCUUUCCGCUUGGCAUCCAACUUCUCUCUUUUUCCCCAAUUCAUGUAUUACUUGAGGAGGUCUCAGUUUAUUGAUGUCUUUAAUAGUAGUCCUGAUGAGACAGCUUUCUUUCGGCUGAUGCUGAACCGUGAGGGCGUGGUGGGUUCUCUUAUCAUGAUCCAGCCUACACUUCUCCAAUAUUCCUUUGACGGUCCACCCAUUCCAGUCCUCCUGGAUGUUCGCUCUAUCUCUCCAGAUGUUAUCUUGCUCUUUGAUUCUUACUUUCAUGUGGUUAUUCACUAUGGGUCCAAGAUUGCUCAAUGGAGGAAGCUUGGUUAUGAUAAGGAUCCAAAUCAUGAGAAUUUGAGGAAGCUGUUGGAAGCCCCAGAAAUUGAUGCACAGCAGUUGGUGGCUGACCGUGUUCCUGCACCGAAGCUCAUUAAAUGUGACCAGCAUGGUAGCCAGAUGAUGAUUGCUAGUUUGUUAUGGGAUAGGCGCUACUUCAGGAUCCAUUGGAGGAAAAUGUUAACCAACUUUGUUGAAGAGCUUCAAAGAUGGUUGCUCCAUGUGAAUUCCACAUGUGAAAGUCAAACAUUUGGGAAAGAUUUCCGACUGGGCAAACUGAUAUUGACACAGGUGAAUAUGAUUAUGCAAUGUAAUGGCUCGUUUCUGGACUGGACGUACGACAGAACUGGCGAUUGCUGCUAAUCUGGCUCUAGAUGAGCUUACCUAUUAGCUGAGGGAUAUUCUUGAAUAGCUGCUGGAUGUUGAUGAUAAUGUAACCUAUCUAUACUUGUUAAGAAAGUUGGCCGGUGCAUCCUCACUGGUUAGUGGUUCGGGUCUGCCACUUGGUAUCCUUCGUUCCCUACCAUAGGCUCAAAAAUAUUGCUGUCAAGUUAGCAAAUAUGGUAACUGUUCAUUGGGAUGAGAAGGCGUUGAGGAACUUGAAAUGUGUGACUUGAGGCUUUUUUAUACGGAUAAAUUAGCCAUGGUGGGCUUAUCUUUCAUGUCAGCUUUCUAGGAGAAUUGAACUUAAGAUCAACCUUCUGGGGGAUGGCCAUCUGUAGUUUUCUACCUACUAAUCUCUGGAGAAGAUUUCGAAGAACCAGGUGCAGUCAUCCAUGCAAGUACUCGGUAGGAGGAACCACAUAGCAGUUGGUACUUACUAUGACCAAUGAUGAUCAUGGUCUAAAAGCAAUCUGAAUCAGUCCCUCUGCCCCUACUUACGCCCUUUCUUUUAAGUUUCCCUUAGAGGCUCUCCAUCAUUUGUCAGGUAAUAUCGAAAGGGAUUAGAAAGGGGCAAAAAGGCGCACAGACAUAUUGUAAUAAUUCGUUCGACUUUCUUUACCAAUUUAUUUCUACACCAGGCGACAUAAUUUGCAGUUUUGAAUGGUAUAAUUGAUUGUUUUUGUGAGCUAGUUUGCAUUGCCAAAACUUUGAUCUUUAACUUGGGAGUUAAAUUGUAAGCUAUGUUAUUAGUAAUUUUUAUAUAAUACGGGAAUAAUAU